rnacentral:lncRNA from 1 species
AGUCUUCCCACAAAGUUACACUAACUCACCUGCCCCUGCAACAUCUGCACCUAGGUUUCUGCGAAUUUCCAUUUGUACUCCUAAAAUCACACUCUCAAGCAUAGUCAUAGUUCUCAAAUACCAAAGGCAGGCAGUUUGGAGUCAUAGGGUCAAAUUACACAAAGAAUAAACUAAUAUUUGUAUACACAUCCAAAAGAGGUCUUUAGUCUUGGAUUUUUAAUUUACAACCCUGGGGAAAAACUUUGACUUUUUUAUUGUACACACAUACACACAUAAAUAGUAAUUCCACAAAAUACAGUAGAAGGGUAUUGGACCAACAGAUGGCGAACUAGAGCCCCAAUCUGAGGCUCCUGAAAUCUAAAUUAGCAGAAUGAAAAAUACCAAAUAAGGCAAAGCCCUUUGCAGCGUAUACUUAAAUAUUAAAUUCAGACACACCAUAACAAAAUAAUCUUACUGCUGCUCCAAAUUUUUAAGACUGAACUGUCAGAUUUAAUUAGGCAACCAAAUAAGCAAGAUUAUAUGAAAUAUAUUUUUCUAAUGGAUUAGGAGAAAACUGGAAAAUGCUCAUUUUUAAAACCAUGUAUUUGGGGGAACUAUAAAUUCCAGUUUCCCCUUUCUCUCAUUGCUUAGUGCAAGAGUCAAGAGUUCACAGGGUUUAUGGCACUUAAAUCAGUCAACCUGUUGUAUAUUCUUAUCUAAAAUCAGACAUCUUUCUUAUUAGGCAUCCACUUGUACUUUUAUUUUUUUGACAGGGUCCUGCUCGGUUGCCCAGGCUAGAGUGCAGUGGUGCAAUCAAACUCACUGCAGCCUCCCAGGCUCAGGCGAUCCUACCUCAGCCUCUUGAGUAGCUGGCACUACAGGCAUAUGCCACCAUGCCCAGCUGUUAUUUUUUUCACUCCUUUUUGUUUUGGUAGAUACAGAGUCUCCCUAUGUUGCCCAGGCUGGUCUCGAACUCCUGGACUCGAGUGCUGGCAUUACAGGCAUGAGCCACCACACAAAAAUCUUAUGAAGAGAAACAAAUUUUCUUAAAUUUCCCCCCAAAAAAUAGUGGAUGUCCAAAAGGCUGAUUGAAAACACCUACAUACAAAAUAAAACAAACAAACAAAAAAAGAUUUAAAGAAAAAGGCCUGGUGCAGCAGCUCACUCCUGUAAUCCCAGCACUUUGGGAGGGUGAGGUGGGAGGAUCACUUGAGCUCCGGAGUUAGAGACCAGCCUGGGCAACAGAGUGAGACCCUAUCUCUACAAACAAAAUUUUAAAUUAGCCAAGUGUGGUAGCAUGUGCUUACAGUCCCAGCUACUCCAGAAGCUGAGGGGAUUGCUUGAGCCUGGGAGGUCAAGGCUGCAGUGAGUCAUGAUCAUGCCAUUGUAGUCCAACCUGGGCAACAGAGCGAGACCAUCUCAAAAUGAAAAGUGAUAAAAAAAUAAAAACACCAACAUAUUUCAAAUCACUCUUGGAAUAGUCAUGUUGACUCUCCAAUAUCCACUCUAUUCUGAUUAGUUUUAACCCAUUCUCUUUGCCAAUGAUUGGUUAGGAAUGGCCAUGAGAUGUGAGUAGAAGCCCCCUGGACAGCCUCCAAAAGAGAACUGUGAGAAAAGGUUCUUCAAUCCUAAAAAUGAUGGAGGAAAAAACAGUCCCUCUUCCUCAGACAGUGACACCUCAAACUGCUACAGUCACCUUUGCAGCAAGCCUGAAGAUGCCACCAACAUCAAAGGGAAUAGAGAGUUGGUCCUUGGUGAUAGCAUUAAGCCACUGUAUCAACCAAUCCUGACAAUUUGUAUGACUUCUGGAUUUCCAGCCACAUUACAACAAUGUAACAAUAAACAUUUAUUAAUUGCUUAAGCCAAUUUGAGUUAGGUUCCUUAUAUAAUAAAUGAAGUCAAAAAA